GAGAGUUUCUGGGUUGGUGUUGAUUAAUCCAUCUACACAGAACACAAUGCUGUGGUGACCCCUCUAACACCAUCUGAUGAAGGUGUAUAUAAACCAUGAUCAAAUAAUUGUGUUUGGUUUUUCAUUAUAAAUAGACGUUUCCAACUUUUACACUUAAUAACUAUGGUUGUGGGUCAAUUGAAAAAGUGAAUGUGUGUGUGUGUAUCAGUGGCGGCUGGUAGUUUUUAAAGUGAGGGAGGAAGGACCACGCGCUUGGUUGCCAUUGGCCUGCUUGCACUGUUGGUGUAUGGUGGCAUAAGAAUGUGAGACUCAAGUUGUUUCAGGUUGUUUUGGUGAACUACAAAAUAGUAGGGAGGGAUAGUUAUGUGAAUAAAUUUGAUACAAAGCCACCAGUGGCAUCACUGUAAUUUGAAAGCUGGUGGGCAGCAUGUCUUUGAAAUGGACUACAAGGGCAGAAGGAAAGGAUGCAAAGCCCAUUAGUCAAAUCAGGCCUACUCUUGAUUUGUAAAAGUAAAUAAAAAAAUCUGGGCCUAUUUUUGCCCUCAAUGACUGAAGUUAUUGGUUGUAAUUUAGCUAUGUUUAUUUUCAGCACCAACGUGAACUUGACACGAGUCGUGGCGUUUGGUUGCCCUAUCAAGAUUUUUCACAUCAGGGAAACCAUAAACAGCCCACGUUGGAGAUUUGCCAUUAUUCAUUAGCAAACAGGGCCAGCAAUACAGUCGAUUGCUAGUAAUGCUACCAGUAAGCCAUGAGUACCUAGCAAACCAUGUAGCACCCACAACACUGACGUUGCCAUUACAUUUGGUGAUCUCGAUUUUGCGAAGUGGUCUACCUUUUUCUUUGGUGGCUAACUUAGCACUGUAACUCAAUGAAUGGAAUGCUUUGUGUAAUUAAACAUGAACAAUGUCCUCUGUU